rnacentral:tRNA from 1 species
UUCUCGCUGGUCAGCGACGUGCUAGAGGUGGUCUUGAAAACCGGUAAGGCAGCGAUGUCUUCGUGGGUUCGAAUCCCACACCCU